UCUUUCUGGGUCUUUCUGGCAUUUCUCUGGUGAAUGUACGAUUUCGGUUGAUUUCGGCAAAUCAAUGGCAAAGUAGGAAUGAUGCCAGAGAUAUUCUGGCUUUUCACUGGAAUGCCACCCAAAUAACGAAAUCGGUUGUGCAGGAGGGCGGAGCUACAGUUACUUUAUGGUUCUUUCCCGGCAAGUUGGAAUAUUACCAGAAAACAUUUUGUUCAGGUGGGGGGGCUUUUUUAAAACCUAGGGCCAAGCAAAGAUGACAGCGGCCCUGCCCUACGGAGACGGUUGACACGCAUGCUCAUUUACGUGAGACCGACUUCAUCCUGGGAAUCUUUUCGGCGGGACCUUAGUCUAGUAAUGAACCAUGGACUUGAUGUACUAUCUACUGAACUAGGAUAUUGUGCUGUGUAUUUUGUAUUAAGGUAAGUAAAACGAUUGUUAUAGCCUACUUGUGCCUAAUUAUACUGCUCACUUAAUAGCUACAUUGCUCUUUGUUGUAUUUACCUGUGCUAAGAUGAGGCAACAUUUCUUGAGGUAAAUUUUCCCUUGGCUUGGAGAUAGCUAACAUCUAGCCUACGGUAUUUCAGUUGUUUGUUCAUGACUAAAUAAGACUAAGUAUUAGGUCUCUUGACAGGCGUUUCAGUACGUACUAAUUCAUGUUAUGUCAUGUCAGGGCUUUAACUUGUUUGGAGGACACGCUAUAACGACCCUAGCUAGCAUAGAUGGCAGCUAUCCUUUUCGGACAUUAGGCAAACGUCAGUGUUUAGAGCUAAUACUAGAUGACUGAUAUGCAAAGACUAUAUUCUUAAUUUAAUUCGUUGGUGUGCUGUCAUGGCCUUUGGUUUUUGUUUUCGUUUGCGAUUGUAAAUUUACACGCUUGAGACAGCCCGUUUUAGAUUUCAGCUGCCUGCUGAGGUUUGGAUUCAGAAAUUAUUUUUGUAAAAUCUCUGAUGGGCUGGCUUGGACGUUAGCGUAAUGUGGUGUUUAACGUGAGCCUGUUCAAAAUCCAUCUUGAGCGGAAUUCACCGGUGAUGGGCUUCAAAUUCCACCUGCAGCAAUGGCAGGUCACGGCUUAUUGCUUUACCCUGAGCUCUAGUUCUACAGUAUUCUCGAGUCCACAUCGCUUUACGGAUGCAAUAGUCACCCGUUUCUGAUGUCGUUAUCAGACGAAAUCAGAGGGCAGUUUGUGACAUACUUGAAAUAAUAUAUCUUUGAGGACACAAAGUAGCUGCCCUUUUUAUUAGACACAUGCACGAGGUAAUGUGAUUUACAGAAAUAUCAGAUUUGCAAUAAAAUAGUCCAUCACAUUGUACUCUUGUCACAGGAGGAUCCAUCUCACUAACACGGGUGAGGGACAGGGACCAAAGAGGAGGCUCUACAACAUGAGGACAGACUGCGAUCCUCAAGCAGUCAGUCCAUGAGCCCACGUCUUCAGGCCAGGGACCCGAGAGGAAUUUCCAGUGACAUGGAUCAACAGAGAUCCUCAAACAGUCAGUCCAUGUGCCACGUUCCAGCCAGGGACCAAAAGGGGGGCUUUCGUCAUAGGGCCAGACAGACAUCCUCAAGCAAGAAAUAGAGAGAUGCAUCCAGGCCACCCACUAGGAGGUGGAACAUCUUACGAAGAGGUGGCUGUACCUGGCAGCAGACUGAGAUGGGGUGAGGAAGAGGAGAAGCACAGACCAAGAACGGAAUGUCAGACAUUUGCCCUUUUUAUGCCCAGCGCACACACACACACACACACACACACCGGCAUAUAAACAUGCACAUAGACACAGGCGCACAUGCACACACAUACACGCACUCUCAAACAAGAUGGGAGUCUCUGGUGAUGUUGGCAAAUAAUCUGAAUCGGUACACACUGCAAUGAUUCCACCAUCAUGCCCCACCUACGCGAGUCCUGUCCUUCAGCAUUGACUUACUCCCCAGGUGUGGUGUGCCUUCAUCCGAACCACAAUGGCAUCCCAAGCAGCAACAAACACCUGCACACAUGCAUGCUACAGUACACACACAAACACACUGGACUAUGAACUAGGUCAGACACACACACACACACACACACACACACACGCUCAAAGUAGCCAAGAUCGAAAAGGCUGCAUCGGUGGCUUGACUUCAUCCAUUUUUUGGAGGAACACCUUUGUCAAUUUUGAGGAACUUUGUUGUGGGAAGAUAUUUUAAAAUUUGAUAGUCAGUCUUGUAUACCCAUUCGCUUCACUAUGAUGUAUUUUGUAAUUGAAUAUGGAUGAUUUAUGCCACAGUGCUGAAUUAACACAUCUUGACAAAGAUGUCACCUUAAAAAGUAUGUUUGGUACCUGUGGGUCAAAUGUCUCAGGAGCUCCCUGACUGCAGAACGUCUCAGGAAAGGACUCAACUUUUUAUAUUGUAUGCAGGGUGCGAUUUGUCAGAAAACCAGAAGGGGGAUGUGUUUCAGAUGUCAAGCAAUAUCAAUGGAGUUACAUUAAACUAUGAUUAAAAUCAUGUGGAAAAAGUGACAAUAUCAAAACCAGAAGAGGGGACAAUCCCCCCAUCCCCUCCUACAAUCCGCACCCUGACUGUAUGUAUUUUACAUGUUUGUCUAUAUGAUUAACACAUGAAGAGUUUAGAUGCAAAAACCCCCCAAGUGCCUUUUCAGAAAAUAAUAUUAAUUCAUUUUUAUUCAAUACAAAGCUAUCAAAAUUGCAUAUUUUUUAAAUUUUAUUUAUGUAAUGUAACUAUUUAUAUGUAUUAUCAAGUACAUGAAUGUUAACCAAACCAACAACAGGGUUUUCUAAAAAUAUAGAAGUGCAGGUCUUCUGAAAUGGAGUUAGGGGGGUUUUGCAUCUGAAUUCUUCACAUGUUCAUAGAAGAAAAUACAAUGUACGACCUCAAGGUCUUGUGUGUUUUUCUCACCGAUAUCUAAGGUUUAUGAGUUACAAAAUGUUUAUUAUUUUGUUUGUUUUCUGAAAGUUUUUUUAAAAACUCAGAGGGAUAUGUUAAGAAAGGUGUUAAUCAUUUGGUUUGUUUUUUGGAAAAUUCCAUUUAAAACAUAGGCUGUGAGUUUAAAAAAAAAAGCUAUUUUGAUAAUUUUGUGUUCUUUUCUGAAAAUUCUACUUUAAAAUGUCAUACAUUUUCAAUUUCCAAAAUCUAUUGAAUGAAUGAAUGUUGUUGUAGCCUACUAAAGAUAAUAAAUGGCCAAUUUGCAUGAUU